UGAAUUGCUAGAGUCUGCUACAGUCGGAAUAGAAACUAUGGCAACUGCCAAAGAAUCGAUGACAGGAAAAUGAUGACUGUUUGGUGAAGUUGUAAAAAUGUUUUUGGGAAAAUUAAAACAAAUUAUUUUUAUUUGAAAUGGCUAUGUGUUUAGAGAUGGCUGUUUAAUAAGGCACAACAGAUCAUAAUCUUCACAUAAAGAAAGGGCAAACGCCUUAUACCCAAGGGGUUGAGACUCCCUAGGGGUAUCUAAAAGAAAAAUUAUUAUGAUCAAUCAGCUCGACUCCCUUUGGAAAACAAAAUCAAGUAAAAAGGCGUAAAGUCCGGCCGGGCCGAACUUUGGAUACCCACCACCUCUGGUAUAUAUGUAAACCACCCUUCGUCAAAAUCCAAUGAAAAAUGCAUACCUUAUUCCCCAUAGCUGUUAUAUCGAAAUAUGUUCCAAAUUCUACCAAAUAUUUAUAAGUACAAGUCCUUGUUCAAUUGUGUAUAACAAAA